UCUGUAUGUAAAGACAGCAAUAGAGAAUAGGUGGUCCCCAGCUGAUGAACCCAGUUAGGAUCCUGGUUAGUCAGACUGGAGGAACAAGCAAUCUUACAAAGAAAGUCUAGAAUUGGAAGUUCAGAGCUACUGGAGCAGUUCUACAGUCAUCCAGACACAGCAGUCAGGAACCACAGAAAUCUUGCCAAGUGUCCAAGCUCAUGCUUUCCAACUGGGACAAUUCUUCUUUCCAGGGACGUUUGGCAGUAUCUGAAGUCACAACUGGGUGGGCAUGAGUACCCCUGGCAUCCUGUGACUAGAGGUCAUGGACAAUAUUCAACAUACUGCAAGGCACAGGACAGCUCCUCUGUGACAAAGUGUUAUCCAAACUCUAAUGCCAAUCAUGCCUAGGUUGAAAAUCCCUGGUCUACAUAGUUGUACAGAUUAAAAGAUGGAGAAAAAUUGAGACUUUUAGCUUCAGGCAUUUUUCUACAGUGAAAUUCCUAAAUGUGAGUCAAAAGAUACAUACAUUCACACAGUACCUUGGAAGGUGUUGCCGCAGUGCCCUCUACAGAUGUAGCGACAGUUCCUUGCCACAAGGAUGUCCAGCAAUGCCUCUUUCCUGCACCAUCACCAACACGUUACAUCGCCAGCUUUCU